GUGAAUCAUCAAAUCUUUGAACGCAAAUUGCACUGUCUGGUAUUCCGGAGAGUAUGCCUGUUUGAGGGUCAGUUUAAAUAAAAGUCGGGGUUUUUGCCACUUUUGGUGGUGACGCUUCGGAAUUGGGUCGUUUUUACUUUUCGGUUAAGUGACUUAAAAUUUGUGAAUGAUAUCUGAACGUAUUUAAAUUUAUUUGGUACGUCUUGUAUUAUAGAAUGUUUAUUAGAAGUGGUCAUCCUCAUUACUCAUGACUAUAAUUAUUAAUCAAAAUUAU
rnacentral:misc_RNA from 1 species